GACAGAGGAGCCAAGCGUUGUUCGGAAUCACUGGGCGUAAAGCGCACGUAGGCGGAUCUUUAAGUCAGAGGUGAAAUCCCAAGGCUCAACCUUGGAACUGCCUUUGAUACUGGGGAUCUUGAGUCCGGGAGAGGUGAGUGGAACUGCGAGUGUAGAGGUGAAAUUCGUAGAUAUUCGCAAGAACACCAGUGGCGAAGGCGGCUCACUGGCCCGGAACUGACGCUGAGGUGCGAAAGCGUGGGGAGCAAACAGG
rnacentral:rRNA from 1 species